UCUUCACUAGUGGUGAGAUUCAGCAUAGACAAUGGAGCCUGAUUAAAUCCAUUAGACUCGAUUGAAACAGAAGAGGUGUCUUUUGAUAUAGUUACCCUUUCUGGUUCGGAUGUUUCGUUAGUUACCCCUUCAGGAACACCCUCUUUCUUUAGCAUUUCCGUAUACCGUGAAGAUGGGACAUCACCCUUGCAGUACCUGCGCCACAUGCCCCGAUAUGUUGCCUCCAAACCACUGAUGAAGUUCUGCCCAUCACAAACAGGUGACUUAGACAUAAGGUCUCGA
rnacentral:lncRNA from 1 species